rnacentral:rRNA from 1 species
UACGGAGGGUGCAAGCGUUAUCCGGAUUCACUGGGUUUAAAGGGGGCGUAGGUGGGUUGGUAAGUCAGUGGUGAAAUCCCCGAGCUUAACUUGGGAACUGCCAUUGAUACUAUCAGUCUUGAAUAUUGUGGAGGUUAGCGGAAUAUGUCAUGUAGCGGUGAAAUGCUUAGAUAUGACAUAGAACACCAAUUGCGAAGGCAGCUGGCUACGCAUAUAUUGACACUGAGGCACGAAAGCGUGGGGAUCAAACAGG